rfam:Gaeumannomyces graminis var. tritici R3-111a-1 unplaced genomic scaffold supercont2.6, whole genome shotgun sequence.
GGGCGUAUGGUGUAGUGGUAGCACAUUCGCUUUGCAAUGCAAACAUGCGAAAGGUCCAGGGUUCGAUCCCCUGUUCGUCCA